rnacentral:lncRNA from 1 species
GCAAAAAUUGGAACCUCAUAACACUAAAAACAGUAGACAGGUUCGCAGUAAAAUUCUAUUAGAAAAAAAACUGUACAUGUGGUGUAUUUAUCUCUGAAUAAAAACUGCUACCCUCCACAAGAACAAAUUGCUAGUGGGAAAAAAUGUACAUGUGGUAUAUGUCUCUCUGCAUGAAAAUUGCUACACUCCACAAGAACAAAUUGCCAGUACGAAAAAAAUCCGCGGGAGAUGUUGCUAGUGCGUAUAAUCCAGCGAAAAAUCAUUCAUCAGCAUCAUCCCCCCCAUCCCAUCCCUCCCAAAUCAAAACCUAAAUUCCCC